UUGAUCUCAAAUCAGGUAGGACUACCCGCUGAACUUAAGCAUAUCAAUAAGCGGAGGAAAAGAAACUAACAAGGAUUCCCCUAGUAACUGCGAGUGAAGCGGGAAGAGCUCAAAUUUAAAAUCUGGCGUGCCUCUGGUCGUCCGAGUUGUAGUCUGGAGAAGCGUUUUCCGUGUUGGACCGUGUACAAGUCUCUUGGAACAGGGCGUCAUAGAGGGUGAGAAUCCCGUCUUUGACACGGACUACCAAUGCUUUGUGAUGCGCUCUCAAAGAGUCGAGUUGUUUGGGAAUGCAGCUCAAAAUGGGUGGUAAAUUCCAUCUAAAGCUAAAUAUAGGCGAGAGACCGAUAGCGAACAAGUACCGUGAGGGAAAGAUGAAAAGC
rnacentral:rRNA from 1 species